UACGGAGGGUGCAAGCGUUGUCCGGAUUUAUUGGGUUUAAAGGGUACGUAGGCGGAUGCUUAAGUCCGGGGUGAAAGGCACUCGCUUAACGAGGGCAUUGCCUUGGAUACUGGGUAUCUUGAGUGCCGUAGAGGUAGGCGGAAUUCAUGGUGUAGCGGUGAAAUGCAUAGAUACCAUGAGGAACACCGAUAGGGAAGCCAGCUUACUGGAGGGCAACUGACGCUGAGGUACGAAAGCGUGGGGAGCGAACAGG
rnacentral:rRNA from 1 species